GUAUGUCGAUAAACUUGACAUCAGCACUGUCAAUCUUAACCCGGUUGGCGGACUACCUCCAUCACACAAGUUUUCUACAUCUGCUUGGUCUGAUGCCACAACCAAGGCUGUUCUCACUGCGGAUAAGAAGCUUGAUGGGACCUUAUGGGCGAACACAAUGUUGACUACAACUUCUUUGGGGGCCCCAACAACUUCAGUAAAUGGAUGGAUGUUCACACGAAUGCUUCAUGCCCAUUAACUGAAAGAAGUAACAUUGAGAAUCUUGUCGGACAGUUUGCAUCCGGUAUGACCAACCUUCUUGGCAACCUUGUGCAUGGUUGGACCGCAAUGUCGGGUGGUGACGGAGAAGAAGUUGCCAACCAGUUUCGGUCUUUUGUUCGCGGUGGCACAUCUCGUCCAACUGGCUCUAGGGCUAGAUACGACCACAACGAUUCGUAAGAGGCGCCCCCAAGUGAUGACGAUUUCUCCAUUGAUGAUAGUGACUACAACGACGAUCACCAGCAGGACGACACCCGUAAUGAUGGAGACACCAGAAUGGACGAUACCAAGCAUGACAUGACGAUUGGGCACAACCACGCAGGUGUUGAUGCAUCUACUGGAGAGGGAUUGGGGGAGGGGCUUCUAUCAUGAGCAAUUCUGGUCCUCAACCCUCCAAAAGGGCUAGGGAUACACAAAAUGCAGAACCUGAAUAUGCUUCCAAAAGGGCGAAGUUGGACCCAGUUGCUGCUAGGAGGAGGGAGGCGACUGCUGGUGGAAAAGUGUCUAAAGAGAAAAUUGUACAUCGGCCUUCCAGAUCAUCUGCUCGAGUAUAGAAGGCUCAUACGGCUACACGUUCAUCUCCUCGCUUUGUGUCCUCCAACACGGGAGAUCCUGUUGUUCUUGAGGAUGUGAGGGAUGCAGGGAAAAGGUUAAAGAACAGAACCAACCAGGCUACUCCUGUGGCUAAAUCUGAGAAAAAAGACCCAUUGGAGCGCAUGCACACUAAGCUUGCUUUGUCAGACAAUGUGGACCGUGUCAAAGCAUCUGCUGCCACUAGCUCCACUGCACCAGAUCUCCUGUUGAGAUAUCAUCAUCAAUGGAUGAAGUGCUUUGCAAGAUGGAGCAGGAUGUGCUCCCGAGGAAUAAAAAGGAGACACAAGCCCCUUCAAGCUUUGGUGCGGUAGAUGCUACCACUUCUGAUGAUGUGCACAGCAGUGUCACCCCAGGUUCUGUUCGGCCGGCAAGGGUUGUGCAACCUCCCCCAGAAGUGGAUUUCGAACCUCCAAUAAAGGCCACGAAGCAACAACAAGAACUUUAUGAUAUCAUGAGGCAUUUUGGAAAUGUGCGAAGUAACAACAUGCAUAUGAAUGCAAUCAGAGAAACUAAGGUCAUCAACUGCUACUCCACGUUCGUUCACAUGGACGAUCUCACCAAGUCUCUGAUGCAUACCGGCAAACUAUCCCAGAAUGUUUUUGCCGCGGGUAUUGACUAUAUCAACGGACACAUUGACAUCCAUCCCGAUAAGAUCAUUAUGAGCACAACCAUCAUGAGGAGAAUUUGGGACAGCGACUUCUCUCAUCCCCAAGUUUGUAAAGUGUUUGCCCAACAUGGUGACUACAAGCUCACACUGAAGAAAUUUGUGAUGUUCGAGAUGUUCCAAGAGCUUGCUCCCAAUGAUUCACACGACAAAGUUUGACACUACUACACGAUUUGCAUCAACUUGGCGAAGCAACGUUUUGAUGUUCUGGACUCAAUCCGUUCGGGGGACGACGAUUCUCUUUGUUCGCACAUAGAGUUUUUCAUCAAUAACUUGAAGGAAACCUGGAUGCGUCACUACAGUGGCUCUAAGGUCUAGUUCAAAGAUUACCCUAUCAACUACGACUGCGGUAUGUAAACAUUGGAAUAUCUUGCUAAGUGGGAAGGCAGGAAGGUGCCAACUCUGAAGAAGGAAAUAGUCACAGAGCUUAGGAAGAUUUAUCUGUGGAAUUGGGUCACGAAUGUUGAUUUUUAACAAGCGGGAGGGUGCAAAGGCUUGGAUAGAGGAUGACGUUAAAGCUACUAUCAAGAGAUACCGGUGAAUGCAUGAAAUAAUGAAGACUUUUGUUUUAGCUCUGUACUUACAUUCUUUGUUCGGAUGAAUGUAAGGUACUGCCACCCAAUUUCCCCGUCCUUCAAUUUUUUUAUCCUUGUCGUUUUGUACCCGCACAUCACCAUGUUUGUGUCGUGAACCCUUUGUGCUUGUAUUUUUCAAAACAUAACUUCGAUGUCAAAUGUUGUUAACUGUUAGUGGGGCAACCCGUUUACGCUUAUACUUACAGUUUGUUUUUGUCGUUCAAUUUGAAAGUCAAUACACUUUUCAGAUCAUUUAGUCACA